UAGUCCACGCCGUAAACGAUGGAUACUAGGUGUUCGGGAUAUUAACGUCCUGAGUACUAAAGCUAACGCAUUAAGUAUCCCGCCUGGGGAGUACGGUCGCAAGGCUAAAACUCAAAGGAAUUGACGGGGGCCCGCACAAGCGGUGGAGUAUGUGGUUUAAUUCGAAGCAACGCGCAGAACCUUACCUACCCUUAACAUUUCGCGACGAUGCUAGAGAUAGUAUUUUCCCUUCGGGGACGCGAGGAUAGGUGCUGCAUGGCUGUCGUCAGCUCGUGUCGUAAGAUGUCUGGUUAAGUCCAAUAACGAGCGCAACCCUUAUCUUCAGUUACCAUCAUUAAGUUGGGGACUCUGAAGAGACUGCCGGUGUUAAACCGGAGGAAGGCGGGGAUGACGUCAAGUCCUCAUGGCCCUUACGGGUAGGGCUACACACGUACUACAAUGGCGGAAACAAACUGUCGCGAAGCCGUGAGGUGGAGCUAAUCAGUAAAACACCGUCUCAGUCCGGAUUGAAGUCUGCAACUCGACUUCA
rnacentral:rRNA from 1 species